ACAUUACAAUGUUUUACACAAAUACAGACUCAUUCUCUCUACUAAACUACAAUCAGAUUUCAGCAUUCAAUCUUUCUUCUUUUCAAAUAAUAUCAAUCACAUUUCCAUUCCAUAAUUCACUUCACAAUAUUCAGAAACUUUCAAUCCUCUUAUUCAAAGAAAAUAACAAACAAAAGAAAAGAGGUAGCACCAAGCUUACCCCGGCUCACAACUCUCACAGUCUCGCCCUCGGCUCACACUAUCGCAGUCUCGCCCUCGGCUCAGCACUAUCGUAGUUUGGCCCUCGGCUCAGCACUAUCGCAGUUUGGCAUUUUCUUUCUCUCUCCCAUCCUUCGUAUACUACCCUGAGAUAUCAACUCCUAUACUACAGAUGGUAACUACUUUUCCUGACUAUUCAUCCAUUCUACCUGCUGAACUACCUUUUCAGCAGUUAUCUAUCCCUGUUUACACUAUACACUAGGUAUCUACAUUCUGAAAAUAACUACUUAUUCUACAUAGCCCCACUCCUAACUGUGCAGUGUCCUCGCAAACACUCAAUUGAUACCUAUUUAAAAAUUAUCUAACAAAACUCUACAAAAAUUGUGAUCCCUCUGGCCUAUCUAAUUAAUCAAUUGCCACAGUAUCUAUUAUUGGUUCCAUUGAUUCUAGUUCCAACUACAAAUCUUCGUCUUCGUCCAAUCCUUCCAUCGACUCUUGUCUCAACUGAGCUAAAAGGUCUUCAUUGUACUCGCCCAGUUUACGGACUUGAGCUUCCAAUUUCAGGAUUUGGGCAUCUCUCAAUUCCAACUGGUACUGAAAAAGACUCCUCUCUUCUGGAACUUCGGGAACUUGCAACGUUGAUACUUGUGCUUGACCAAUAUUGACUAAAUCCUCUGCCAAUCUUGUCACCUCAAUGUUCAAGGCCUCAAUUUCAGCCCUUAACUGCUCCGUUUCAUAUCUGUAUUGGUCACUCAAUACCAAUUUCUCUUGCGCCAAUAACUCGGUCUUUUCUCAUUCCAUUACUAACUGAUCCUUCACUUUUUCUAGUUCCAAAAUUGAAUGACUGCGAGCCCGGAAUAGUUCUUGCCUGUGAGUCUCUACCAUGCAUUCUCUUUCUUGUGAUUGGCUCCUCACUGUUAACUCUUAACUGGAACUACUACUUUCGAAAACACAAGAAAUACAACAAAAUGGCACUCUAGCCAACCCAAAACAAUAUCAAAAAAUGACUUUAACUGGUGCCCCACUCUUAUUCUUUUACUACCUAGUGAUAAUACCAAUAUGUUACCCAUACUGUCCGUGAAAGGUAAUGAGAAGUAAUCUUUCUUGGUGGCCGCAAUAAGUUUCCAGAAAUCCUGAAAAAUUUGGAUUUUUCCAUUCUUUUUUCAUACCCUCACGAUUGACGACAUCCAUGCACUAUGCGGAACAGGAUAAAUAAAACCCACGUCGAGAAAUUUAUCCAAUUCCUCUUUCACUAAAAGAAAAUAUUUUGGAUUAAGCCAGUAUUGCCUCUGCUGUACCGUUUUAGCGUUCUCCUCUAAAAUGAUACGACGCUCACAGACUUCACCGGGAAUACCUUUUAAAUCAUCAUAAGUCCAAGCAAAAGUAGAUUUAUGAUGUAAGAAAAAUUCGGUCCAACAUGUCAACUCUUGUUCCUUAAUACCUUCGUAGACCUUAAUUGUCCGAGGUUCUGAUGUGGUCGCCAAGUUGAUAGUUUGACAUAAAGGUGCAACAGCGAUGUUCUAUUUCAACCCCCGUGCUAGUUUAAAGUCAGUCGGUAAGUUCGACAUGUAUGAACUACUAAAUCCUAUGUCCAGGGCACUAAUAUGGUGCACAUCAUACUUGGUCAUCCAAUCAGUACUAACAUAAUCCGAGUUUUCCGAGUCCGUCGGGUAUAUCAAGUACUCCCCUGGACCUCCACAUUAGUACACCACUCCAGGGUGUAGUGUUGCCUCCACGGGCGCCUCCGUAAUUGGUGCUACUGCAUCGUCAUCGGAGCUAAGCUCAUCGUUCGAUGUUAAUUCAGAUGCUGGCAAUUGAGACUCCUCGUGAUAAUGUACUGGGUACAUCUGUAACACCAUUUUGUCUCUAUCCUUGCCAAUUGUCAAAGUACCCCGACCCCAAUCAUUCUUAGCUUUGGCUUGAUAAAGCCAAGAUCGUUCCAAUAAAAUUGGAUAUGAUAAAGUCAAACAUUGUAAUCGAAAGAUGAUAUAGUUGAUUUCAUAUCCAAUACCGGUAAUCAUAGUUUGAGCACCCCGUAAGAUACCCAUUGCUUUAACCUGCCUAUGAUCUGCGAUCCGUAAUACCAAUGUCGUGGGUACUAAGUGUUCUAAAUCUUAAGCAUCCAUUGUAUCAGCGUUCAUUAAAUUGACGCUGGAACUACCAUCCACCUGAACAUCCGAGAUCAUAACAUCGUCAAUCGAAACAUCAAUGGUUGGUGCACCUAGAUCAAGGUUCAAACUGACUUCACCAAUUUCUUUAUUACAAUGUCUAUGCCAUAUUAACAAUGAAUUCAAUGUAGAAUGGCACUCUAGUGUGAUCGCUAGAAGUUGCUUCAUAGAAAUAGAAGGCCGAAUAGCAUCCAAAUCCUUCAGAACGUCGUAGGAUUCUAUAUUGAGAAUAAUUUCCAAUACUCUUUUGCAUUUUAUUGGUUUCGAUUUUACUCUGUGAAGUAAGAUAUCCUUCCGCCAUGGACUCGGAAUUGGAACAGCAGUCGGGGUUUCCUUGGAAUUCCCGCCCUCGAGAGGAUCUUUCAAUAGAUAGGACGUUUCUCAGAACUACGUAGAGAUCAAAACUGCUUGGAACGAAACUGAUGCCUCCGUAAUUGGAACCUCGUUGAGUUGUGCCACCGAUUUAGGUCUCAUAUAGGGUACGAAGCCCGUAACAAGACCUGGAUUGGAUGGUCCCGACAAAUUGGCAUGUGGAACCAAAUUGGAUUCCUCAGUCUGUUGAGGUGUCAAUAUUGAGAUAUGUCCCAAUACUGAUAUUGGUUCGUUUAGCCCCGUAGACGGUGCUACUUGCUCUCCUGCGAUUGGUUCAUCCAUGUCCUGAAUUGGAUUCUUAUCUUUUUGUUGGCCUCUAGUAAGCACUGCAUUUACUACCUCGACAUGAUAUACUAGUGAGUCUCAUUGAACAGGGCCUUUGUCCUCCGCCGGUUGGCUUGUUUGUAUUUGCUGGUCCCAGUUAUUAUAAUUAAAGGGUACAUUGCACUACUGAUAAGUAUGACCAGACUGCUUACAAUUUCCACAUAUUGGAGCAUAGUCAUUACUGGCCCUUGGAUUAGGACAUUCACUUGCAUAAUGUCUGAUUUGUCAGCAACGAUAGCAAUGAAGUGAUCUCCUACCAACUCCUUCAGGGAUAAUGGGUGUCUCUACUGGUAUAUAACGGCUAGGUCUGUUCCAUGUCGGAUGAGUAAAGGAUCCUAGUUGAUCCAUUGUUACUGUAGAGUCUCGCAUUGGCUUCGUCAUAGGUGGAUAUUGAUGGUAUCUUGGUUGGUUCAUCACGAAUCCGUGAGUAUUAGAUACACCUUCUUGGUGAAAUUCAGAGUUGAGAAAAUUAAAAUAAUUCUUGUUUUGUUUAUUCACUCGAUUUCUAUUCCAGCUAAACCUAUUAUUCGUUUGUACUUGAUUGACAUCCCACAAAGUUGGUUGAGUCAUUAUCUAGUUACUGAGUUGUUGUUGCUUUCGUAAAUUCCAACAGUUGGUGGUAAUAUGCUUGCCCCCGCAAAAGGUACAUUGUAUAGUCAUUUGGGGUGGUGAAGGACCUUCUGUUAGUAAAUGACCUUGCCCCUUACAAUUGCUGCACUAGACAUUGGGACGCAUAUUAGUUGGUUUAUACCUUUUUUCUUUAUCUUUGGCUAGAUUCAGAGCCAAUUCAUCCAUUUUUUUCGUCAAUGUUAACAGUAAUGACUCAUUAGGAUCCCUUGAUACCAAUGCAUUUGGUAAUUCCUUUGUAGGUAUUGGUUUUUGAUACAUGGAAUAAGACACAUACGGAUGUGAUGAUGAUGGUGGUACAGCUUGCAAUGGAACGGCAUCUACUAUUCUCUAUGAAAUUAUACCAUAAUCAUUCCUUCCCAGAUAACUUUCUGAUGCGUCAUUCCAAUUUGUCAUUUGAUAACCUCCUUGAGAUGGAAUCAUCGUGGCUCCAACUGUUAAGUUCUGGUCAUAGUGACAUUCCUCCCAUACUUUUGCUCGCUCAAGAGAUGAUGCAAUGGUGGCUGAUUGGGCCUCCUUUACAAACAUUUUUAAUUCUGGUGGGUGUAGUCCAUUAACGAAUAUGGACAACACAAAUGAUUUUGGUAUUUGAUUAUUUGGCCAUUUUCGAAGUAUAUCCGCUACACAACCAUAAUAUGACUGUACCGCUUUCCCUGGUACCAUUCUGCUGUUCAUUAAUUUUUCUCUAAGACGUUCUUCAAAACCAAUUGAUUGAAAAUAGGCUAAAAAUAUAUUUUUUAAUACCUCCCAAUUGAUAAAUUGUUCCAAAGGUUGGUGAUUAUACCACUCAAAUGCUAUGUCUUUCAAUGUUACUGGCAGCCAUCUCAACCAAAUGUCUUCUAUUUUUCCAUUAUUGGUUACACACGCUGUUAAGAAUUGAGACAAAUGUUGAUCUGGAUCCGCACCUAGCAAACCCCAAAAAGUAGGUAAUGGCACGAUGCUAGUGGUUCGAUUGCCCACUGCACCCAUUUGAACUGCAAUCGGAUCUGCUGGUCCUUCAGAUGUCAUUAAAGAUGCCGGUGUUCCGCUCAAUUUCUUAUUAAAAUAAAAACAGUCUCCCGUAAAAGUCUUUUUCGGACUUCCAGGCCUUCUCGAUUGACUAUUAUUAUCCCCAAAUAAUUUUACUAGUUAAAUAUGAGGUAAAAAUGACAGGUUUUGAUAUACUUUGAAUUGGUCUUUAUUGGCAAGUGAUUUUUGCCAAUCUUCAGAACCAGUCUUGUUAGGAUCGGACGUAUUUCUAAUUGAGAAGUUAUCCAAUGGGAUACCUAAUUACUCUGUGUCUUCCUCGUUUUCCAUUAACGGCUUCGAGAGGUUUGCUAGACUAUUAAUAGUGCUCCUCGUGAGUGCUCUUGGCAAUUUCUUUAACGAUAUGUACUUCUAAAAUACUAGAGAUCAAUCGUCUUCUGGGUACGAUCGAAUAUGUCGACAAGCAUGCAACCACGACUUAAUCUAACUUUAUUGAUGCUUCUAUUUUAAUUUACAAUCUCGUCCAUUAUACAACAAAUUUUUUGCUUGCGAUCGCUCUGUUCUUUCCUUUGAUUGCUUUAUUCUCUUUGUUGUUAAAUUAUCAUUCUUAAUAACUAUACUCUUUCAUUAAACACUACUGAAAUCAUCUUUUAUUGCCAAUUUUUUCACACGUUUGGUAAUUAAUUCCUAAUACUCAAAGCUAUUAUCACUCCCCGGCAGCGGCGCCAAAAUGUGAUUGCUCAUUUUACUUAUUCUAGAAGAAACCUCCCAGCAUAAACACGUAUAGGGGGAUUCGAACACGGGGAAUGACUAGUUGCUUAAGCGUUCACGUUAGGGUCACACAAUCAAUUACCUCUUGAAUAUAUUGUCUCUGUUUUUAAUAUCUGAACAUACAAGGAAACUACAAUCUCCUCCUUCACCUUAUCGGUCUCUUCCUUAUAGCAAUUCAGUCAUACUAAUAACUGCUAUUUCUACCAAUAUAUUCACCCUCAUAAUCUCCAACUAUAAUAUUGCGCCCUCAUAGCUUUCAAGACACAAUUAUCCUCGUUCCAAUCACUGGAAUUCUUCACACAGAACUGCCAUUCACAUUACAGUGUUUCACACAAAUACAUAUUCAUUCUCUCUGCUAAACUACAAUCAGAUUUCAGCAUUCAAUCUUUCUUCUUUUUAAAUAAUAUCAAUCACAUUUCCAUUCCAUAAUUCACUUCACAAUAUUCAGAAACUUUCAAUCCUCUUAUUCAAAGAAAAUAACAAACAAAAGAAAAGAGGUAGUACCAAGCUUACCCCGGCUCACAACUCUCACAGUCUGGCCCUCGGCUCAACACUAUCACAGUCUAGCCCUCGGCAUAGCGCUAUCGCAGUCUU
rnacentral:lncRNA from 1 species